GCAGAUUCAUUGGUCAAUGAAGUAGUAGAGUCUCAAGAAACUAAGUGUUAUUAUCUAUUUCAGGAGCUACCAAGCAUAACAAGGAAGCAUCUAAACAUGGAUAAAUCGCAGAUACCAAACAUAAGGAUGAAAACUCGCAAAAUCAGCACACAGUGAUAUAGUAGAGACGGAGCAACUAAGCAAUCACCUCAACAACAGUCAUAACAACAAUUCAACAUUUAUGCGAGGAAUCAGAAGGUACAGUAAUUUUAUAGCAGAAUACUUCACACAUGUACAAAGUCAUAGUAGAAUUAGAUGUCCUAGCUAGUUUGGGUCAUCAGAGAAGUUGGUCGAAGGUAAUACCCGAAAUAAUCGUCAAACAAGUGGCGUCAUAUCCGGACAGAAAUGAAGAACAUCUGCGGUCACUUGGAUUUCCAAUAGCCACCUGAAAAGAAAAAUGAAUCAGCAGCUCAAAGAUUGAAGAAGACAGAGGAGACAGUGAAGAGGCUUACCAAAUUUUGAAGAGGCGAGUAAAGAGAGGAAGGGUUUGGAGAUUUUUGGAAAUAGACAAAGAGCAGAUAAUUGUAGAUUUGGAAUCUUGUCUCAUUAUUUUAUUUGGAUCGAUCCAUUUAUGGAUGAG
rnacentral:lncRNA from 1 species